CUGGGCUGGGAACAGUAUGUUCAGACAGAGCCAGGAGAAUUCAUCGCUGUGAAGUUACAGGCCUUAGUCUGAGGCUGCUCUCCAGCUUGGCGCCUGACAGAGAAAAUUGGCUUUAGGUCAGAACCCUGGUGUAAUGAAAAGGCACGCUGGAGGGAGACCUAAACCCAAGGGCGGUCCUUCAAUGCCAGGAAACUGCCAGACUUCGGGUUGGUCACUCAUCUCUCUGGGACACUGUCCCUAUGAGUGUGAAGUGAAGGUAGUAGGGGCAGCCCCAUUUCUCUGAAAUAUUGAUAAGGACAAAAUGUGUGUGGAAGCAAAACUGUAAAGUGACAAGGCUUGUGAUCAACUCUGACAGUUGUGCCUAUGCCUGUCCAGGACCUAGGAUGAAAGCAAGGGCUGGAGAACUUUAGCACAAGAUAAAGGCAGAGAGAAUCUGGACAUCCAGGCUCACAUUGCACACGGAAGUACCUGGUGAAGGAUGUUCAGAAACCACUCGGUCUUUUCUGCUAAACUUGCCCACAUAUCUAAUUUCCUGUCCCUCUGUCCAAAGCCAUCAAGCUGAAAGUGAUAGAAUUCAGAAAGCUGUGCCAUCACCAUGUGUCAUGGAAAGCAGUCAGUUUGAGAGAGCUCAGUGACGGCCCCUCAUUUGCUAACACCUUAGAGGUGUUUGUCAUGGAGUCGUACUCUGCAUCAGGCAUGGGCUUCCCAAUGAAUGGGCUACUGCGUACUAGUCCCACCAGCUAUUGCUAAGAAAUGAAGUACUUCUCCACUAGAGCUUUUGUGUUCUUAUGGGAAACUCCCUGCUCAUUAUGCAAAUCCACGAACAUCCCUGGAAUAAGCUCAGCAACAGACGUUGCCAUGCUUUAGGAUGGUGGGGCAGAAAAUAGCUUUGGAAG
rnacentral:lncRNA from 1 species